rnacentral:lncRNA from 1 species
AGUAGAAAAAACCGCGACUUGUCGAGCAUCUCCCAGCUCACCUCUGCCGGCAUCCCCCUUGCGUCCUCGACCUCACCGCCAUGCUCGGCAACUCUUGCGGCGCUAAAGCUCAUCGCUUUCCAGGUUUCCUCUCCCACGCCAGCUCACCUUCAACUUCAAGGCUAUCUAGAGCUCGAUCCAAUAUAAUCCAAGUAUGAAGUAUCCAACUACUCUCUGCAGGCCGCCGGCGCAAGAAGUCAGAGGUAGAAGGGAUGGAACAUCUCGCGUGCCGAGUGGACGUCGCCGGCAGUGUACCCAGUCGCCGACGGCAGCAUCUCCGGCGAGGGGAAGGCUUUUUCCUUCC